UCUAUAAGCCGCUUAAAAAUUACCCUCUAACCGAAGAGUGUUAGAUAGCGUCGAAGGACAAGAAGACCCUAUAGAGCUUAAUUUAAAUAAAUAUAAAAAAUUUACUAAAAUUCGGUUGGGGCGACCAGGGAAUUACCCAUCAUCCCUAAGCAAAAGAUAAAUAUAUCAAAAUACUGACCCUUCUACAAGAUCAUUAAAACAAGCUACCUUAGGGAUAACAGGCUAAUCUCACUAGAGAGUCCUUAUCAAUAGUGGGGAUUGGCACCUCGAUGUUGGCUUAGGGAAUCUCUAUAACGCAAAAGUUAUAUAAAGAUGGUUUGUUCAACCAAUAACACCCUACAUGAGCUGAGUUCAGACCGGCGUAAGCCAGGUUAGUUUCUAUCCUCGAUCACUCUAUCUAUUUAUAGUACGAAAGGACCUAAUUAGAGUAAUAUUUACAUACAGGGAAUAAAUAUAAACCAUUCUAAAUAAAAUAAAUCUUAAACUAUGAGUAAGUUGGCAGAAUAUUGCCACC
rnacentral:rRNA from 1 species